UGAGAUCCACCUUUAAUCUAGGCCACGAC
rnacentral:piRNA from 1 species